AUUGAACGCUGGCGGCAGGCCUAACACAUGCAAGUCGAACGAGUGGCGGACGGGUGAGUAAUGUCUGGGAACAUGCCUGAUGGAUGGGAAUAACUACUGGAAACGGUAGCUAAUACCGCAUACCAUCGGAUGUGCACAGAUGGGAUUAGCUAGUAGGGUGGGUAAAGGCUCACCUAGGCGACGAUCCCUAGCUGGUCUGAGAGGAUGACCAGCCACACUGGAACUGAGACACGGUCCAGACUCCUACGGGAGGCAGCAGUGGGGAAUAUUGCACAAUGGGCGCAAGCCUGAUGCAGCCAUGCCGCGUGUAUGAAGAAGGCCUUCGGGUUGUAAAGUACUUUCAGCGGGGAGGCGUUACCCGCAGAAGAAGCACCGGCUAACUCCGUGCCAGCAGCCGCGGUAAUUC
rnacentral:rRNA from 1 species